GUUAGGAAUAUUGGACAAUGGGCGAAAGCCUGAUCCAGCCAUGCCGCGUGAACGAUGAAGGCCUUCGGGUUGUAAAGUUCUUUAGCCGAUGAUUAUAAUGACUGUAGUCGGAAAAUAAGCCCCGGCUAACUUCGUGCCAGCAGCCGCGGUAAUACGAAGGGGGCGAGCGUUAUUCGGAAUCACUGGGCGUAAAGCGUGCGUAGGCGGUUUUGUAAGUUAGGAGUGAAAGCCCAGGGCUCAACCUUGGAAUUGCUCUUAAAACUGCAAGGCUCGAAUCUCGGAGAGGAUAGCGGAAUUUCCAGUGUAGCAGUGAAAUGCGUAGAUAUUGGAAGGAACACCAGUGGCGUAAGCGGCUAUCUGGACGAGUAUUGACGCUGAGGCACGAAAGCGUGGGGAUCAAACAGUAUUAGAAACCCGGGUAGUCC
rnacentral:rRNA from 1 species